GGUCUGAAGCUUGAGUUGGUUAAGGUCUGUGUGGUAAAUAGGAGAUCCUGGGUUCAAAUCCCAGCAGGUCC